AGCUUCGCACAGUAGCAGUAUCAUAAUUAAUGAGACUUAUCUGAGACAUGAUUAUUGCUAAUUGAAAACUAAUCCCAGUACCCUGCUAUGCUGGCUUUGGUCAGCAUGGCAGUUUUGCAGGUCUGUAUGGAGA